rnacentral:lncRNA from 1 species
GGCCCGCCCAGCAGGACCACUGAGCAAGGCCUUGGAAAACCAGAGAGAUUAGAGCGCAGAAUGGGGAAAUGGAGAGAGAACCUGAAAGAGCCCCAAACUCGAGGACGUAUUGCUUCCCAAGAAUAACAUCUUCCAGAAGAACCAGACAGAAAACUAGGCGUCUGGGA